GGAGUCUUAAACUGAAACAAUACCCACUUCUUUUUGACAAUUCAGUAAUACCCACGUUCUUGUGUGGAACUGCUCUUUUGUUUAAUUUGACAAUUCUACAAUAACCAACCUUAAUUUGUGUUCGCCUUCAUGGGCACAUCGUAUGUCGGAGCCUAUUUCAACGAUGGUUAAUUCUUUCUGUGUUUAAACUAGCAGUGGUAGUAAACCAAAGCCUUAAGUGCUAAGAUUAUUAUCACGCUAGCUUGCUAUGUGGGGAAAGUGAAGGACUACGCCAUUGAAAAUAAUGUGAAGCGGUAAGAUUUUGGCUUAGUACGGAUAUUGAAGAGGUUAAGAUGUUCUCUUCCGCUGCUUCUUCUACCAAGCACCAAUUGGGUUCAGCAAGAAACGACUAAUGACCACUUUUUUCAAAGUGUUCUUCUGGGAAGUUUUGUUGAUGGAGAGUCAGCAUUCAAAAUUUGUGCAGCGGAUAGUGUGUGAUUCAGCAUUUGCUACUAUCAAUAAUGGCACAAAAGAAUAAUAACAUAUAAAUGAAUACCAGUACAGUUGCCGCCAAGAAAAUUGUUGAAGAAACCAUCCAACUUGCAAUUCUCAUUUACUGAAUAAGAGAUCGAAAGCUAAGGAAAAGGAAGAGGAAAGACUGAAAUUGGUGCAAAAGUUACUUGGUGUGUGUUCUACUAUGCUAAAGGCUGCUGAAAUAAUAAAAUCAACAUCCGAGAUAGAGAUCUCAGCAUCUAAAGAGGCAGUUAAGCACCUCAAAAACAGAUUGACUUCACUAGGAAGAGAACUACAAUAUGCCAAAUUUAAGGCAUGAUGGAAUGCCAAAAUAGGUAGUCCUAAUUGUUUGUGUAGUCAUUGCCAUGUGUUUCUACUAUCCACUGGGUGUUUCCUUUGCUGCAGAGGAGAAUGAAAGGAUAUUCUCAAGGAGGUUGAUAAUAAAAUGCCAAUCAUAAUCUUAUUUAUGCCUUUAGUACAAUUCAAGUCCUAUGAUGAGUUGAGCUUGAUUAUUUCCUAAAUUCUGAAUAGAUGUAAUUUACUAUAGUUUUCUAAUUGUCUUCUCUAUGCCACUUUUUGUACUUUUCAUCUGCAUGAGGUAAAUAUCUCUCGCUUUAUGUGUCAAAUUUCAGUGUUAUAUUUUCCUAUUAAUUUCAGGGCAUAUGAUCGUGCUGCGAUUAAAUAUGAAAGACUGGAUGCAGAUAUCAAUUUCAAUGUCAGUUUUCCUUUUUAUUAACUCUUUUUUCUGUCUACUACUAUAAUUUAUUCUGGCUUAUAGUAUUUUUAGUCUUUAUUAGUUAUACUUGAUUCGGUUUUGGCUUAAUGGAAUUACUAGACGUUGUUUGUGAAGGAAGACAUUAUCGAAUGUUGUGCCAUGCCUUAGAUUUUAUAUUAUGGGAUAUCAGAGUAUUAUGUUGUUAUUAAUGUGUAGAUUUGAUAUUAUGGGAUACCAGAGUAUUAUGUUGUUAUUAAUGUGGCUUGAACUAUUUGAUGAAACAGUCAUAAUUUAAUCCUUUGUGUUAGUCAAGUAUCUGCUUUGCGUGUCUCCAACAUAUUAUUCAAAUGUUCUACAUCUUAUUUAUCGCCCUGCAGCAGAACUGCAGUAAUUGCAAGAGGACAGGGAGGAACGAGGAUGCGAAAAGAAAAGAAAAUACAAAACUGUAUUUGUUUUGUUUUCAUGCUUCAAAUUAAACCUUUGUGUUUCCUCAUACUGAUAUUACUGUUGUCAAAUUAGUGUUGAAAUUCCAUGUUGUCCAUUGUCGAGAAAUUGCUGCAAAAAGCUUGUGGUUAUUGAUUUCGUGACAUGCAAAUUUAGUUUGGGUAAGAUGGUAUCCUACAUGAUCUUUUGCCAAAAUUUUCAUAGAAACUGGAUUCUUUGACAGCUUGAUAUUUAUAUGUGCCCAUAGAGAAAAGUUUGAUACUAUAUGAGGUGAAGACUUGGUAGUGUUUUUGUUAGAAAAAGAUUUGUAGAACUCCUAUGACAAUGCUAUGUAGGAUAGCCAGAUGAUUGCAUUCCUCUAUUUGGCAUUUUGUUAUAAAAAAAAUAAAAUA